CAAGGCUUGUCAUUUAAGCAAACUGAAAGCAUUUGUUUUUAACUUGUUCUUUUGCCAAAAGUCUGGAGAAGGGUGGAUAUUACAGAAGCGUCGACCAAUCACUGAAACGGCUCACAAAUUUUUUAAAAAUUACUUGUUCUGAUUAUGUUCCAAGCUGGCUUAUAGUUAGUCGUUGCUGCCUGUGUCUUCCAGACCUAACAUUUUAGCAUGAUGACUUGGGUUCAUUUGUAGGAUGGGACUUUGCCCCCAGAGUUUAAUCAAAGCUCGGGUUUCCUUCCAGCAGUGAUGCAAUGUUGAAGCAGAUCUUUCCAUUAACCACAGAUGGAAUUUUAUCUAACAGUUUUGUGUGCUAGAGCAAUUCAAAGUGCAAACAAACAGAAAGUUCCUGACGAGAGCACAUAGACAGUAAGUGACCACAUUGGUCUCAGAGGUUGAUGAACUGUGUCACGGGCUGAGGGCAGGGCUAGGAUUCCUACGCCAGCUACGAUGUGAACGG
rnacentral:lncRNA from 1 species